rnacentral:rRNA from 1 species
GACGAACGCUGGCGGCGUGCUUAACACAUGCAAGUCGAACGGUAAGGCCCUUCGGGGUACACGAGUGGCGAACGGGUGAGUAACACGUGGGUGCUCUGCCCUGCACUUCCGGAUAAGCCUGGGAAACUGGGUCUAAUACCGGAUAGGACUCCGGACUGCAUGGUCUGGGGUGGACAGCGUUUGCGGUGCGGGAUGGGCCGGCGGCCUAUCAGCGUGUUGGUGGAGUGAUGGCCUACCAAGGCGACGACGGGUAGCCAGCCUGGGAGGGUGAGCGGGCACACUGGGACUGAGAUAGGGACCAGUAUCCUACGGGAGGCAGCAGUGGAGAAUAUUGCGCAAUGGGCGCAAGCCUGAUGCGGCGACGCCGCGUGAGGGAUGACGGCCUGCGGGUUGUAAACCUCUUUCAGAAUCGACGAGGCGAAAGUGACGGUAGGUGCAGAGGAAGGACCGGCCAACUACGUGCCAGCCGCCGCAGUAA